UCACAACGGCUCUUCGUGAUUCGUUUAUUAAUCGUCAAUCACGUGAAGUAGUUGUGCCC
rnacentral:precursor_RNA from 1 species